rnacentral:rRNA from 1 species
GACGAACGCUGGCGGCGUGCUUAACACAUGCAAGUCGAACGGUGAAGCGCCUUCCUUUUUGGUGGGUGUGGAUGAGUGGCGAACGGGUGAGUAACACGUGAGUAACCUGCUCCCUCCUUCUGGAUAACCGCAUGAAAGUGUGGCUAAUACGGGAUAUUCUGGGUCUGUCGCAUGAUGGGUCUGGGAAAGAUAUUGUUUCGGUGGGGGAUGGGCUCGCGGCCUAUCAGCUUGUUGGUGGGGUGAUGGCCUACCAAGGCGGUGACGGGUAGCCGGCCUGAGAGGGGGGACGGUCACACUGGGACUGAGGCACGGCCCAGACUCCUGCGGGAGGCAGCGGUGGGGAAUAUUGCAGAAUGGGCGCAAGCCUGAUGCAGCGACGCCGCGUGAGGGAGGGAGGCCUUCGGGUUGUGAACCUCUUUCGCCAGUGAAGCAGGCCUGCCUCGUUGGUGAGUGGGUUGACGGUAGCUGGAUAAGAAGCGCCGCCUAACUACGU